AAAUAAGAAGUAAUAAAAUUACAUAUUAAUUUCGACUUAAUAAUCAGAUACUACAAUAUCCUUAUUUU
rnacentral:tRNA from 1 species